UACUCUCUAGGUGAGUCAUAAUUUUUCCUAAUUUGUUCUAAUGUUUUUGACUCUCCUAUGGUUCGGCGACAUGUCUAUCAAGCUCUUUCGCUGUCUUGAUUUUGUGAUUCUGAAAGGUCAACAUGCCCGACAUGGUCAUCGGUUACGAGGUAAGCCGCCAACCAUUGCCCGCAACUUGAAGCAACGACUCGAAGGACUGAAUCGCGUGGAUCCGACGUUAGAUUUCAAAGUAGACAUUGGUUAUCCAGUGACCAAAGUCACAAGGCGAACUAUAACGAGUUCUUGGGUGAGUGAGAUCACAGCACGUAGGAAUGAUCCUAAACUGGAAAAAGCUUCUCGCACUAGAACACUGUUGGUUGAUCUAGAGAAAGCAAGAGAGGACUGGCUGCAGUCCAAUGGUUCCUUUCAUACUCACAGAAUAGCAGACCACUAUGGUGUUUAUAAAGAUCUGUACGGAGAUGCCUACUUUAUGCCAACUGUACCAUUAAACAUAAACUAUGAGUUAGAGAAUGAUAAAUUGGUAAAAGUUUAUACCGGUAACGUUAUUAAACCUAGUGAAGCUUCUAAGACACCUGAUGUGACGUACAAUGCUGAGAAUGGAUCACUGUGGACUCUGAUAAUGACUACACCGGAUGGUAAUUUCACCAGUGCAGAUAAUGAGUAUUGUCACUGGUUUAUUGGCAACAUUCCUUGUAAUCGUUUGAAGGAAGGAGAAGAAUUGGUGGAUUAUUUAAGACCAUUGGCGCCAUACGGCAUUGGUUAUUGCAGAUAUAUUUUUGUAUUGUACAAACAGGAAUGUCACAUAGAUUUUUCUGAAUAUAAGAGAACAAAAUCUUGCUUGAAUUUAGAGGAACGUAACUGGAGAACACUGGAUUUUUAUAGAAAACAUCAAGAUCAAUUGACACCUGCUGGCUUAGCAUUUUUUCAAUCAGAUUGGGAUUCCUCUCUUAAGGAAUUUUAUUACAAUACGUUAAAAAUGAGAAUACCAGUAUUUCAAUAUGAUUUCCCACAACCAUAUAUAAAAAAACAAACAUGGUUUCCUUUGAAAGAACCUUUCAAUCUCUAUCUAGACAAAUACCGCGAUCCUAAGCAGAUAAGAAAGGAGUUUUUAUUGAGAAAAUUGAAAAAAACUCAUCCUUUCAAUGGACCAGAGCCACCACGGAAAUUCCCAUUGGCUCAUCGCUUUGACAACGAUAUGCCUUCCUGGCUAAGAUUUGAGAUAAUGAAGAAGAGACUGGGAUAUGGUCGUAUCAAUGAUCUCGAUGAAUACUAAAUUGAUAAAUAGAUGCGUCUCUAUAAUUUGCUUACUGCGGAGUUUAAUAUCUACUCGCGUCGGAACGGUGAUGUCAACUGUCUCGUGUUCAACCAAUAGUCCUGUAAAGUCGUAUGAUUUAUAUGGAGGUGGUCAAUCAAUAAAGUUAUUGAUAUGUCAGGAAAAAAGCAACAGAACGGAUAAUGAUUCACCUAUCGGUUCCUCUUUACCAGUUCCAAAUAUCAAAUUUGAAGAGCAAUUCGACACGUAAGUUUGAUAGAGAUCCCGCGCUUUGGCCUCCUUGUCUGAUUCGAGAUCGAAAUUGCUCAUGCCGAAGAGGAUGCCUAUUUUCCUGCUGAUUUUUGAUAACAGCACCAAAACUAAAAUCAGAUAUUUAACAUCGAGCAGUACGUAAAAUAUAUCGCAUUUGCCGCGUUAUGUUUCGUAACGGAUUGCUGCAACCGUGCUAUCAGUUGUUGCUGCUGGCAAUUCGAUAGAUCCUCGCUUUGUUCUUCGAACUCGAUGGAAAGAACGUUGUGUUCCAACUUGUCAUCCAGUGAACGAACAAAUCUUUACUCUCUAUAGGUCAAGGAUCGACAAGGUGGUGGUGGUGCGCUCCAAAUGCCAUUUUCUCGACACGAUGGUUUUUUCACUGGUUCUAGUGGAGUUACAUAUCCAGGUGAACAUGUUACCUGUCAAAAUAAAUCGUGGAAUUAUUUGGAAAAAUUUAA
rnacentral:misc_RNA from 1 species